AAGAAGUGAAAUUUGUGAAAGAAACGAUGCUGGCCUGGAUGAAAGAUUUUGGAUACGGUAUAAAUCUGGAAGACUGGCAAAUUUUAUGGGACAAGAAUAGGAAAAUUACCCUGGCGGUAUCAUAUAAAGAAAAUUUACUAAAAAUGUUUUAUC